CUCGUGAUCCCAGCAUGCCGCCAUCGAGAGAAGCCGAGCCCGAACACCGCCGCCUCCUGUCCCUUCCCACCGCCUCCUCUCCCUCGCUCAAGACAGGAAGAUAACCCAGGCCCUCGGAUCCAGAGCUGUACGUGCAGCUGGGUGAGCAGGAUGACCUGGAAGCGCUCCUCGACAGAGUUGCCAUGGCCGGCCUUGUCGUCGUCCUCCGCGGGCUCGAGGAUCUCACAGAGUGGUCUUGCUUGAAUGCUUUCUAUCUGAUUUUGUUUGAUUUUUUUAGCAGGGUGUUGGAUUCUUUAGAGAUGAUUUCCAGGGAGUGCCAUUUGGAUUUGUGCGCAAACUGGGACCGCGAAUCGAAUCUGCAUCCACUUCUUUCAUUUUGCUUAUAUGAAUUUGUGACAGGGGGAAGAAUUAAGAAGAAUGUGUAUCCAACGUGAAGGUUGAAGCAGCCGAAUGCUCUGCAUGCUUUGCUUUUCUGAAUUUGGAUGGCCAUGUUGCAAAAAGACUGCAUGUUGCUGCUGCCACACUGCUGAUUUGAUAGUAGUAAAAAGUUUGAAUUUUUGAAGAAGAGGAUAUUGCAGCAGACAACAAUAAAAAGCUGGGCGCACUUUGUGCAAACACAACGAGGGGUUGUAUUCAACGCUAAUGGCAAACAUUUAAGAAAAUGAAGCACUUCUUUCUGCUUGCUAUAGACAUUUAAGGGCAUCGUCAUCUAUGAUCAUUGCAGCCGUUGGUCCCCCAAGCAAAACAUGAGUCCAAAACACGCUCCAAGAGUCAAUUUUCUGAACAUGAUACAACCUACAUUCAAACUUAAAAUUAUCGUAGCAUAGUUUUGUCUUGCAGAUAUUUGACGCUUAUUUUUUUUGGUAAUUUUACAACACAUGUUUAAACUUGAGUUAUUGUGGAAUUGUUUUUUUAUAUUGCAUC